rnacentral:rRNA from 1 species
GGUUAAGCUAGUAAGAGCACACGGAGGAUGCCUAGGCGCCAGGAGCCGACGAAGGACGUGGCGAACGACGAUAUUGCCUCGGGGAGCUGUAAGCAAGCAUCGAUCCGGGGAUGUCCGAAUGGGGAAACCCGGCUGCUGUAAUAGGCAGUCACUCACACCUGAAUCCAUAGGGUGUGAAGAGGCAUACGAGGGGAACUGAAACAUCUAAGUACCCUCAGGAAGAGAAAACAAUAGUGAUUCCGUCAGUAGCGGCGAGCGAACGCGGAAGAGCCUAAACCGGAGAGCUUGCUCUCCGGGGUUGUGGGACGUCUCAUAUGGAGUCAGAAAGGCAGUUUAUUAGACGAAGAGGUCUGGAAAGGCCCGCCGUAGAAGGUAAUAGCCCUGUACUCGAAAGUAAAUGCCCUCCGAGACGGAUCCCGAGUACCGCGGGACACGUGAAACCCCGUGGGAAUCCGGCAGGACCAUCUGCUAAGGCUAAAUACUCCCUGGCGACCGAUAGUGAAGCAGUACCGUGAGGGAAAGGUGAAAAGCACCCCGGAAGGGGAGUGAAACAGAACCUGAAACCGUGUGCUUACAAGAAGUCAGAGCUCGUUAUAUGAGUGAUGGCGUGCCUUUUGUAGAAUGAACCGGCGAGUUACGUUUACGUGCAAGGUUAAGGUGAAAAGCCGCAGCCGCAGCGAAAGCGAGUCUGAAUAGGGCGAAUGAGUACGUAGGCGUAGACCCGAAACCGUGUGAUCUACCCCUGUCCAGGGUGAAGGUGCGGUAACACGCACUGGAGGCCCGAACCCACGAAUGUUGAAAAAUUCGGGGAUGAGGUGGGGGUAGCGGAGAAAUUCCAAUCGAACUCGGAGAUAGCUGGUUCUCCCCGAAAUAGCUUUAGGGCUAGCCUCGGAGGAAGAGUCGUGGAGGUAGAGCACUGAUUGGGUGCGGGGCCCGCCAAGGGUUACCAAGCUCAGUCAAACUCCGAAUGCCAUGGACUUAUUAUCCGGGAGUCAGACAAUGGGUGCUAAGGUCCGUUGUCAAGAGGGAAACAGCCCAGACCAUCAGCUAAGGCCCCUAAGUGUACGUUAAGUGGGAAAGGAUGUGGAGUUGCCCAGACAACCAGGAUGUUGGCUUAGAAGCAGCCAUCAUUUAAAGAGUGCGUAAUAGCUCACUGGUCGAGUGACUCUGCGCCGAAAAUGUAACGGGGCUAAACGUACCGCCGAAGCUAUGGAUUGCAUCGACUUCACUGCUUCUUCGAGGAGCGAGUGAAGACCCGCCUGACAUUUUGUCGACAUACGAAGUGAUACCCCUUGUCGACCAAAUGACCUCAGGGGCGAAACGACUACUUCGAAGCUGGAGUGAAGUCGAUGCAGUGGUAGGGGAGCGUUGUGUACCGGGUUGAAGGCAGACCGGAAGGACUGCUGGACUGUACACAAGUGAGAAUGCCGGUAUGAGUAACGAAAAGACUGGUGAGAAUCCAGUCCGCCGAAAGCCUAAGGGUUCCUGGGGAAGGCUCGUCCGCCCAGGGUAAGUCGGGACCUAAGGCGAGGCCGAAAGGCGUAGUCGAAGGACAACAGGUUGAAAUUCCUGUACCACCGUAGCCGUUAUGAGCAAUGGGGGGACGCAGAAGGAUAGGGACGCGAGCUGAUGGAUGCUCGUCCAAGCAGUGAGGCUGAUCAGUAGGCAAAUCCGCUGACCGUAAGGCUGGGCUGUGACGGGGAGGGAAAAUGACAGUACCGAAGGUCUUGAUUUCAUGCUGCCAAGAAAAGCCUCUAGCCAGGUGAAGGUGCCCGUACCGCAAACCGACACAGGUAGGCGAGAAGAGAAUUCUAAGGCGCGCGGAAGAACUCUCGUUAAGGAACUCGGCAAAAUGACCCCGUAACUUUGGGAGAAGGGGUGCCCCGGUAGGGUGAAUAGCCCGAGGGGGCCGCAGUGAAUAGGCCCGAGCGACUGUUUAGCAAAAACACAGGUCUGUGCGAAGCCGUAAGGCGAAGUAUACGGGCUGACGCCUGCCCGGUGCUGGAAGGUUAAGGGGAGUGGUUAGCCGGAAGGCGAAGCUAUGAACCGAAGCCCCAGUAAACGGCGGCCGUAACUAUAACGGUCCUAAGGUAGCGAAAUUCCUUGUCAGGUAAAUUCUGACCCGCACGAAUGGCGUAACGACUUGGGCGCUGUCUCAACGAGAGAUCCGGUGAAAUUUUAAUACCUGUGAAGAUGCAGGUUACCCGCGACAAGACGGAAAGACCCCAUGGAGCUUUACUGCAGCUUGAUAUUGGACUUUGGUACGGUCUGUACAGGAUAGGUGGGAGCCUGGGAAGCCGGAGCGCCAGCUUCGGUGGAGGCGCCGUUGGGAUACCACCCUGAUCGUAUCGGAGUUCUAACCUGGGACCGUGAAGCCGGUUCGGGGACAGUGUCAGGCGGGCAGUUUGACUGGGGCGGUCGCCUCCUAAAGAGUAACGGAGGCGCCCCAAGGUUCCCUCAGAAUGGUUGGAAAUCAUUCGAAGAGUGCAAAGGCAGAAGGGAGCUUGACUGCGAGACCUACAAGUCGAGCAGGGACGAAAGUCGGGCUUAGUGAUCCGGUGGUACCGCAUGGAAGGGCCAUCGCUCAACGGAUAAAAGCUACCCUGGGGAUAACAGGCUUAUCUCCCCCAAGAGUCCACAUCGACGGGGAGGUUUGGCACCUCGAUGUCGGCUCAUCGCAUCCUGGGGCUGAAGUAGGUCCCAAGGGUUGGGCUGUUCGCCCAUUAAAGCGGUACGCGAGCUGGGUUCAGAACGUCGUGAGACAGUUCGGUCCCUAUCUGUCGCGGGCGUAGGAAAUUUGAGAGGAGCUGUCCUUAGUACGAGAGGACCGGGAUGGACGUACCGCUGGUGUACCAGUUGUCUCGCCAGAGGCAUAGCUGGGUAGCCAAGUACGGAAGGGAUAAGCGCUGAAAGCAUCUAAGCGUGAAGCCCCCCUCAAGAUGAGAUUUCCCGCAUUGGUAAGACCCCUUGAAGACGACGAGGUAGAUAGGUUGGAGGUGGAAGUGCAGCAAUGCAUGGAGCUGACCAAUACUAAUCGGUCGAGGGCUUAUCCUA